CGUCUCAGUUCGGAUUGUAGUCUGCAACCCGACUACAUGAAGCUGGAAUCGCUAGUAAUCGCGGAUCAGCAUGCCGCGGUGAAUACGUUCCCGGGCCUUGUACACACCGCCCGUCACACCAUGGGAGUUUGUAACGCCCAAAGUCGGUGGCCUAACCUUUAUGGAGGGAGCCGCCUAAGGCGGGACAGAUGACUGGGGUGAAGUCGUAACAAGGUACC
rnacentral:rRNA from 1 species